UUGGGCAAGGGUUGUGUACGUGGGUCAAUGCAUGCUACUAUUGUAGGGUCUUAGCCUUGCCCAAGGCUAAGAUGGUAAUAGAUGGCAGUUUUGCAGUUCUCACUCUUGCUUUCUAUUGUUCUUCUAGACUUUAGGCUCUAACUCCUGUCCUGCAUCAAAAUGGAUAAAAUAACUUGAUUACGUAGUAAAAAAUUCAUUUUAGACACACAAAAGUAGAUGAU
rnacentral:lncRNA from 1 species